rnacentral:rRNA from 1 species
UGCCAGACUCCUACGGGAGGCAGCAGUGGGGAAUAUUGCACAAUGGGGGAAACCCUGAUGCAGCGACGCCGCGUGAGCGAUGAAGUAUUUCGGUAUGUAAAGCUCUAUCAGCAGGGAAGAAAAUGACGGUACCUGACUAAGAAGCCCCGGCUAACUACGUGCCAGCAGCCGCGGUAAUACGUAGGGGGCAAGCGUUAUCCGGAUUUACUGGGUGUAAAGGGAGCGUAGACGGCUGUGCAAGCCAGAUGUGAAAGCCCGGGGCUCAACCCCGGGACUGCAUUUGGAACUGUGUAGCUGGAGUGUCGGAGAGGCAGGCGGAAUUCCUAGUGUAGCGGUGAAAUGCGUAGAUAUUAGGAGGAACACCAGUGGCGAAGGCGGCCUGCUGGACGAUGACUGACGUUGAGGCUCGAAAGCGUGGGGAGCAAACAGGAUUAGAUACCCGUGUAUG